rnacentral:rRNA from 1 species
AUUGAACGCUGGCGGCAGGCCUAACACAUGCAAGUCGAGCGGUAGCACAGAGAGCUUGCUCUCGGGUGACGAGCGGCGGACGGGUGAGUAAUGUCUGGGAAACUGCCUGAUGGAGGGGGAUAACUACUGGAAACGGUAGCUAAUACCGCAUAAUGUCGCAAGACCAAAGAGGGGGACCUUCGGGCCUCUUGCCAUCAGAUGUGCCCAGAUGGGAUUAGCUAGUAGGUGGGGUAAUGGCUCACCUAGGCGACGAUCCCUAGCUGGUCUGAGAGGAUGACCAGCCACACUGGAACUGAGACACGGUCCAGACUCCUACGGGAGGCAGCAGUGGGGAAUAUUGCACAACGGGCGCAAGCCUGAUGCAGCCAUGCCGCGUGUGUGAAGAAGGCCUUCGGGUUGUAAAGCACUUUCAGCGAGGAGGAAGGCAUUAAGGUUAAUAACCUUAGUGAUUGACGUUACUCGCAGAAGAAGCACCGGCUAACUCCGUGCCAGCCGCCGCCGUAA